UUGCUCUUUCCUCCCCUCCUCCUCCUCCUCCUCCGGCCGGCUGACAAAAGCCUUUCGCCGGGUUCUUCACUCUCUCCGUGGCUCGCUGGCGCUUUCUCUUACCAAACACACACUCGCUCUCUUCCCCUUUCAACAGUCGUUUUUUCUCUCACUCUUUCUUGAGUCUCCCCCCCCCCCCCCCCCCCUCCCUCUCUCCUAGUUGGCCUCCCCUCCUCCUCCUCCUCCUCCUCCUCCCGGUCAGCUCUUCUUCCUCCUGAGGCAGUGAGAGAGCGCCGGAGCCCCUCGUCCCCUCCUCUCUCUCCCUCCUCCUCCUCCUCCUCCCCCAGCCGGCAGGGCUCAAGAGGAGCGCAUGGGAGCUCUCUCUCUCUCUCUCCCCCCCUCUCACCCUCGUUUGUCUCUUCACAGGGUGAUGCGGGAGCAGCGCUGUGGGCGGUAGAGGAGGUGCGUGGCAGUCCAGGAAGCUCUCAUUCCGCUGCUGCGUGCUGCCUCGCCGCCGUCCGACUCCUCCACCACCACCACCAGUCUCCCUCGCUCCCCCCCCCCCCUAGUGAGCGCGCGUGUCAGAGUUGCCUUCCCCCGGCUCCUCUCUCCUCCCCUCUCAUUGAUUCCUCUUUUCCGCCCGCCGCUCCUCCCCGAGCCGCGUCCCUGGUAUUUCUUGCUCUUUUCCGCUGUGCCGUUUCCCCUUCUCCUCGCGCCCACGGUGUCCUUCACCCAGCCGGGACGAGGUUACUGCCAAUCACGUGCAGAUUUAUUUGAUGGAAACAGCAUUGAGUAAAAUGUGGAUGAGCAAGCAGAGGGACCAAAUCCUCCAGAGGACGAAAAAUGCAUUCCCAACAACAAACUGCACACCCGGUUGCCAUCAUUGAGAGGUGAGCACUGUGCAAAGCAGACGAGAUGUUCCCCCGACCACGCGGUGCCGCGUCUCCACCGGCGAGGUCAAGGCCGGGUCGCCCUGCCACGACUCGCGCUAUGCAGAAAUUAAAAAUAAAUGUGUACAAGGCAAGCGACGCUUCCUCAGCUGCCGGAGCAGAUCCAGGAUCAGCGCGACAGCCUAUCAGGGCGACCUGGCAGGGCGAUGCAGGAGGCCCACGUGCACACCGCCGGGCACAUGCUAUCAGGGAAUUAUGCGGAGGCACGCCGCUGGCCCGAGGCACUACUGGCACUGCCGGGACAGACGUUGGUUCCUGACAGAUGCCCCCGUCGGAUGUUAAAUCUUUGUUAACGCCGCAAAAUCAGCUUAACGGGCUGUCUUUUCCCAGCCAACACCACGUUCAUUCUCAUGCAGCUUCACACAUUGAGCCGUGAACUGCCCCCCCCCCCCCCCCCAACGCGGGAGCAGGAGGGGGGGGGGGGGGUCUGGCUUUCGACACCACGUCUGUGAAACACCGGUUACAAAACUCUUAUGCAUGACUAGGCUAAGGUCACAAUAAAAACACUAGAACAUCAAGUCGAAGCUGCCACAAUAUCUGAAAAACACUUCAAUGGAGGUUUGUUUGUGUGCUCUCAGCCAGUAGCAAACUACACUACUUUUUUGUGCGUUCAUUCAAGUGGCGUGAAACAUGUGGGCGAGCGUUUGUGUGCUACAAUAUGGCUUUACAUUGCAAGCCGAACUGAUAACCUAAAUAAAGUUAUAUGCAACUGACCAACUGGAAAUGUGUGGACAGCUUUAUUCAAAAUGUGCGAGUCAAUGUGUGUGUGUGUGUGUGUGUGUGUGUAGCAGGGGGAGGUUUUUAAGAUCAGCGGGAUAACACACGGGUACACCAGCGCCGGUAGAACUUCUUACUACAUCUCUGUGGUUUGUGUUUUACAUUUUACAGCUUCGUACCUCCUUUAGAGACAGACUCAACUGCAGCGUGCAUAACAAUAUCCCAGCAAAUCCUGCCGCCAUCAGCUUUGGAGUUUGGACUUUAAAAGAAGCGCACGCAGUCACUGAGAAGCUCGGUAACAGUGUCCCAGCCAAGCUAAACAAAUCCACGGCCGGAUAAGGCUCACCAGGGUACAGCCCCCCUCGGGGGGGGGGGUUAUCGAGGACUACAAACACAGACGGCGCAAAGGGCCUUAACUCAAAUACCGGCGUCCUGCCUUGCUGCUACUGCCGACAAAACUACACGACCUGCAUUCCCACUGCAAUGGCGGACAAGCGACAGACACGACCUCUGAUUCACAUGGCGCUUAAAAAGACGGGAGCACAUGGCCGUUACUGACGGCAAAACUGAAACUGUCUGCCUGCGUACGUGUGUCAGAACCAAAAAACAGCCAAAGGAAGGAGAAAUAACCGUCCACACACGCUCCAGCGGUCACGAAGCCACUGCUCCACGGCCACUAAACAGUUAAGCUCUGUGUGCGAGGGGGAUUGGCUUACUUUAGUACACAUGAAGGAGGGAAGAGGAGGGGGAGCGGCUGAGCUGCUGAAAGGCAGCGAGGGUCGAGGGG
ensembl:lncRNA